GAGUUUGAUCAUGGCUCAGAUUGAACGCUGGCGGCAUGCCUAACACAUGCAAGUCGAACGGAAACGAUGCUAGCUUGCUAGCAGGCGUCGAGUGGCGGACGGGUGAGUAAUGCAUAGGAAUCUACCUAGUAGCGGGGGACAACCUGGUGAAAACCAGGCUAAUACCGCAUAAUCCCUACGGGGCAAAGCAGGGGACCUUCGGGCCUUGCACGCACUUAGAUGAGCCUAUGUCGGAUUAGCUAGUUGGUAAGGUAAUGGCUUACCAAGGCGACGAUCCGUAGCUGGUUUGAGAGGACGAUCAGCCACACUGGGACUGAGACACGGCCCAGACUCCUACGGGAGGCAGCAGUAGGGAAUAUUGCACAAUGGGCGAAAGCCUGAUGCAGCAAUGCCGCGUGUGUGAAGAAGGCCUGCGGGUUGUAAAGCACUUUCAGUAGGGAGGAAAAAGCAAUGCUAAUACCAUUGUCUAACUGACGUUACCUACAGAAGAAGCACCGGCUAACUCCGUGCCAGCAGCCGCGGUAAUACAGAGGGUGCGAGCGUUAAUCGGAAUUACUGGGCGUAAAGAGUACGUAGGCGGUUAUUUAAGUCGGAUGUGAAAUCCCCGAGUUUAACUUGGGAAUUGCACUCGAAACUGAAUGACUAGAGUACAGCAGAGGAAAGUGGAAUUUCUAGUGUAGCGGUGAAAUGCGUAGAUAUUAGAAGGAACACCAGUGGCGAAGGCGACUUUCUGGGCUGAUACUGACGCUGAGGUACGAAAGCGUGGGGAGUAAACAGGAUUAGAUAUCCUGGUAGUCCACGCCCUAAAUGAUGAGAACUAGCUGUUGGAGGAAUAUAAUCCUUUAGUAGCGUAGUAAAUGUGAUAAGUUCUCCGCCUGGGGAGUACGGCCGCAAGGCUAAAACUCAAAUGAAUUGACGGGGGCCCGCACAAGCGGUGGAGCAUGUGGUUUAAUUCGAUGCAACGCGAAGAACCUUACCCGCUCUUGACAUCCACAGAACUUUCUAGAGAUAGAUUGGUGCCUUCGGGAACUGUGAGACAGGUGCUGCAUGGCUGUCGUCAGCUCGUGUUGUGAAAUGUUGGGUUAAGUCCCGUAACGAGCGCAACCCUUGUCCUUAUUUGCCAGCACGUAAUGUGGGAACUCUAAGGAGACUGCCGGUGACAAACCGGAGGAAGGUGGGGACGACGUCAAGUCAUCAUGGCCCUUACGAGCGGGGCUACACACGUGCUACAAUGGCCAGGACAAACGGUUGCAACCCCGCGAGGGUGAGCUAAUCCGAGAAACCUGGUCGUAGUCCGGAUCGCAGUCUGCAACUCGACUGCGUGAAGUCGGAAUCGCUAGUAAUCGUGAAUCAGAACGUCACGGUGAAUACGUUCCCGGGCCUUGUACACACCGCCCGUCACACCAUGGGAGUGGAUUGCACCAGAAGUAGCUAGCUUAACCUUCGGGAGGGCGGUUACCACGGUGUGGUUCAUGACUGGGGUGAAGUCGUAACAAGGUAGCCCU
rnacentral:rRNA from 1 species